rnacentral:rRNA from 1 species
CAGUCGCCGCGGGAAAACGUAGGUGGCAAGCGUUGUCCGGAAUUGUUGGGCGUAAAGGGCUCGCAGGCGGUUUCUUAAGUCUGAUGUGAAAGCCCCCGGCUCAACCGGGGAGGGCCAUUGGAAACUGGGAAACUUGAGUGCAGAGGAGGAGAGUGGAAUUCCACGUGUAGCGGUGAAAUGCGUAGAGAUGUGGAGGAACACCAGUGGCGAAGGCGACUCUCUGGUCUGUAACUGACGCUGAGGAGCGAAAGCGUGGGGAGCGAACAGGAUUAGAUACCCCUGUAGUCCCUGUCUCUUAUAC